AUUCUGACAGCUGGCGUUCUUCGAGCAUUCGUUCGACCCACCACAUUCCCCAUCCAUCCACCACCCCAACUCCACCGUUUGGAAAUCUAGCGACACCGCCGUAUCGUUGCGAAUGUCCACCGCGACGGACGAGAACAGUUUAGAUAAUCUAACCUACGAUCCAGCAGAGCUAUAGGUAUUGCGCAACCCGAGACAACCGAGCUGCAGUUUUGCAGCAGCAGCCCGUUCCGCCACGUCGGCGCGUAGUUCUGACCGAAGAGAUCUCUGACGGUUGUGAUCGGACGGCCGCAUUUCGCUGGCAGAUCGAGCAGGAGAGCUUCCGGCGUAACGUUUCGGACACGGAAAUCGCCGACAUGGAUUUCCCCGUGGGUGCAAGUCAAACGGAUUUGGCAGCCGUCAGAGAAUCCGAACGGGUACGGGACAGGCGGGACACCACCGCACGAGCGAUUGCAGGCGCUGGGUCGUUGAGCGGCGACGAUGGGCAAAACGAGAAUUGCGAAGAGGCAGAGUCGAAGUGGAGGGAAAGUCAUCUUCCGGAGUAGAAAAGACGGGAUUUUUCGACUCGGUAAGCAGAAAAAAGGUUCGAUUUCUCAGAUGAUUUGAGUGAUCGAUCGGGAAAGAUCGGACGGCUGAAAAUCGAGGGCUGCGAUUGAUUGACGGCGUGAAAAGGAUCUCCCCUGCAAUUCUUCAAAAUGAUUUGAAAUUUCUGUGAGAUUUAGUAGAAUCGUAGAUUUCGUCACGACUGCGAUUGCUGGUUUUUCCGUUCCUUGUACUUCGUUUUGGAAUUUAGGGUUUGGCUUUGAGGAGAUAGGGAAAAA